UCAUGAUGACUUGGGUUUAGUUUAACGACGUUUCGGUCGUUUGAAUUUGGGUUUAGUUUAACGACGUUUCGGUCGUUUGAAUUUGAGUUUAGUUUAACGAUGUUUCGGUCGUUUGAAUUUGGGUUUAGUUUAACGAUAUUUCGGUCGUUUGAAUUUGAGUUUAGUUUAACGACUUUGCGGUCGUUUGAAUUCGGGUUUAGUUUAGCGACGUUUCGGUCGUUUGAAUUUGGGUUUAGUUUAACGACAUUUCAGUCGUCUGAAUUUGGGUUUAGUUUAGCGACGUUCCGAUCGUCUGAAAUUUAGAUGAAAUUAAUUCAUGGUAGGGGCCAUUUAGAGAGCCCAUUGAAUAAAAUUAAUGUAUGAUAAUGAGCUAUUUGGAAGGCCUAUUAGUUCAUGAAAUUAAUUUAUGACAAGGAGGGCCCAUGAAAUUAAUUCAUAUAAUUAAUUCAUGAGAAAGAGGUCCAAUUGGAAAGUUCAAGAAAUU
rnacentral:lncRNA from 1 species